UACGUAGGGCGCAAGCGUUGUCCGGAUUUAUUGGGCGUAAAGAGCUCGUAGGCGGUGUGUCGCGUCGGCCGUGAAAACCUGCAGCUUAACUGUGGGCUUGCGGUCGAUACGGGUAUCACUGGAGUUCGGCAGGGGAGACUGGAAUUCCUGGUGUAGCGGUGAAAAUGCGCAGAUAUCAGGAGGAACACCGGUGGCGAAGGCGGGUCUCUGGGCCGAUACUGACGCUGAGGAGCGAAAAGCGUGGGGGAGCGAACAGG
rnacentral:rRNA from 1 species